rnacentral:lncRNA from 1 species
GAAGUUCAGGAACUCGUUAACUAUCCGGGCUUGCUGCGGAAAAUACUCAUUAUAAUCACCACCUCUUUUCUGUAUAGCAUAAUUAGUGAGACUAUGAGCCAAAUAUUGAAUCCACUUUUCUACUAUAUUUAUUUUUAUAUUAGCAUUUCAUAUUAUUGCUAUUUUUGUUCGAAUUUGCGGUCAUUUUCUAUAGAGUAUUGGUCAUGUUAUACUAUACUAGUAAAAAAAGUUGGUAACUUGAGCCUUACAAACUAUUAUUAUUAUUAUUUGCUAACCCCUUUGAGCCUCCAUGCAAUAAUUUAUUUUGUUAUCACUAAGUGACAAAUCAUGUCAUAAGUUUUUAACCUUAAUGUCACCUAUUUGAUUUCUUUUGGAGUUGGAUAUAAUAUUUUUAAUAAAUUGGUAUGAUUUGAAAUUAAGUUUGAGUUUGCUCUUUGAAAUUAGCAAUAUUUUAAGUUUUUGGUGAGGUAUCAGUAGAACUUAUUUAUCAAAAAUGAAAAAAUGUAGAUAAAACCAUAUAAAAAUAUGGGUUUACACAAAAAAAAUAUAUAUAUAUAAUCAAGAGUCAAAAACAUCAAAAUUUUGGUCUCUUAAAAAAAAUGUAUUUAUCUUCAAAAAUGAAAGAUAAAGAGUUCUACUUAAUUAAUACCCACAUUGUUUUGGUUUAAGGAAGGAAAGUUUGAAAUGCUUCAAUAUUUAGUAGGAAUCUAUAUGUUGGAAAUCUAACUUCAAGUUGUGUUGUUAGCCUACUUUUUCAAAUAUAUCUCACCUUGUCUAAGCAAAUAUAUAACUCUAUUUAUGACAGAUUCAACUUGUGGCUUUUCAUUAUCUCUAGCAACUUGAGAAAGCAUAGUCCUUUCAAUGCUUCAACUGUCAAUGUCAAUGAGUCAAUGCUGACCUAUGAAGUACAUACGCUUCUCGGCUUAGACGUGCCCCAUGGUAAGAUAUGCGUGGUGUUCGACACCGACACAUAUUAUUACAUUGAAUUAUGUGAUUUUCUUAAAUUAUUAUUUAGGUCGGUAUGUCAGUGUCCGGUGUCCGUGUCUGUGCUUAAUAGAUGCUAACACAGAUGGUGAUAUGCAGGUUUUGGAUAGCAUGAAGGUUAAUGAUUACAUUUGGGAGUACCUUGAGUUUGGAGUGGUGAUGAAAGCAUAUAGUGUCUUUACAGAUGCAAGGUUUACUAAGAUCUCACCUGGAAAGUAAAUUAACUCAUCAUUCUUCAAGAAAUGUAGUGUUUCAAGACUAUCAAAUUUCUGAAUUGAUCUUAGUAAAUCUUGAUUGUAUUUCCAUUCUAUUUACAAACCAAUGCUUUGUUCUAUACAAGUUCAGUUCAGUAACACCGCUUGAUAUAUUCAAAGACUCAAAUGAUUGUUUACUCAUUAUGUAUUUACAUAUCUUGAAAUAUAAAUAAAUACCAAAUAAAACUAAUAAGAGUUUUGUCAUGAGGUGUCUAUACAAAGCAUUAUAGUAAAAUAGUUCAUUAAAGACAAGUUUAGAGACACAUCUUUAUCAGUGCAGGGUAGUGUGUACCUGAUAAAUGGAGUCAUCCGCCGAUUAAUGGUGCACCCUAUACGGAGGACCCUGCGAAACAUGUAUAGGCCCCAUAACAUCGACCACCACGUCCACCAUAUCCUACUUUCCUACUUUCUAUUUCAAUACGCUGAACAUGGGCUAUUUUUAACCAGUCCUCGCCUAUUUCCUUUUGGCAUCGCUUCUCUAUUUGAGGGCAGCAUUGAAUACACAAUCUUUUUAGACUGCUAAGAUAUCGGAUGCUCGCCGGAAGACAGCUCAAAUUAGGACACACAAGAAUAAUUAAUUCCUGAAGUAAGGAAAGGUUUCCCAAACAGUCAGGCAAAUAUUCUAGUUUUGGAAGUUCAGACAAUAUUAUGCAUUGCAGAGAAGUCAUAUGUUGCAAAGCCUCGUGCAAACUUUCUACUUCCGGACAACUAGCAAUCACCAAUGUCUCUAGACAAGUUAGGUAUUGAAAACCUUCUGACAGAUUAAACUUGUGGCACUUCACUAUCUCUAGCAACUUGAGAGAGGAUAGUCCUUUCAAUACUUCAUCUGUCAAUGACUCAAUAGUGACACAGUUGGUAAUAUACAGGUGUUGGAGAGAAUGAAGGUCAAUGAUUUCAUUUGGGAGUACCUCGAGUUUGGAGUGGUGAUGAAAGCCUAAUGUCCUUACAGAUGCAAGGUUUAGUAAGAUCUCAUCUGGAAAGUAAGUUAACUCAUCAUUCUUCAAAAAAUGCAGCGUUUCAA